CUACUUUCAGCGAUCGGUUGC
rnacentral:siRNA from 1 species